UAACCCUACUUUACUCUUUUGUCUCUUUCUUUUUAUUUCGUGUAGCCUCCACUAACUCUUUCCUCUUCGUUCUUUUUCUUUUUUUUUUUCAGUUCUCCAUUUGAUUCUAUCUCUCUCAUUUUCUUCUCCCUUAGAACAUCUCUUUCUUUCUCUUUCUCUCUUUAUAAUGUUUCAGAUUCAGUCAUGUUCUUCUCCCUCAUUAAAGGUAGAAACUCAUGAGCCUACUGCCUCUCAACGACUAUAUGGAUCCGUACUUAAUGCAAAUGAUUUCGGAUACCGAUGGAUGUAGAUUGAGCCACUACUUCGUCGUAGAUUUGGCGACUACACUGUUCGAGGUUUUCAUCAGGAAGAUAUGAAAAAGCCAGUGCCAAUGAUAAAGGAGAAUACAAGGACAGCGGGGUGUAGACAAGGGCGGAAGGAGAAUUUACAAAUGCCGUUUGGUUGCUGUAGUGUGAUGGAGGCAAAGGAGGUGGUGUAGGAGACCAGUCUUACCCUAAUUUUCUUUGAUUUGGUUUGUAUUAUAAUUGGUUAUCUAAUACCAGCUUAAUUUUUUGUAACCAGUUAACCAAUAUGUGGUUCCAAUAAUCAAUAAAAUAUAUUUUAGUUACGAUU